UACGGAGGGUGCAAGCGUUAUCCGGAUUCACUGGGUUUAAAGGGUGCGUAGGUGGGCAGGUAAGUCAGUGGUGAAAUCUCCGGGCUUAACCCGGAAACUGCCGUUGAUACUAUCUGUCUUGAAUAUCGUGGAGAUGAGCGGAAUAUGUCAUGUAGCGGUGAAAUGCUUAGAUAUGAGGUAGAACACCGAUGGCGAAGGCAGCUAGUUGGACGGUUAUUGACGCUGAGGCACGAAAGCGUGGGGAUCAAACAGG
rnacentral:rRNA from 1 species